rnacentral:misc_RNA from 1 species
GAAAUGCGAUAAGUAAUGUGAAUUGCAGAAUUCAGUGAAUCAUCGAAUCUUUGAACGCAUCUUGCGCUCCUUGGUAUUCCUUGGAGCAUGCCUGUUUGAGUAUCAUGAGCAAAUCUCAAAGUCAAUUCCUUUUGUUGAUUCAAUUGGUUUUGCUUUGGACUUGGAGGCCUUGCAGAUUUCACAGUCUGCUCCUCUUAAAUGCAUUAGCUGGAUCUCAGUAAUUAUGCUUGGUUCCACUCGGCGUGAUAAGUAUCACUCGCUGAGGACACUGUUAAAAAGGUGGCCAGGAAAAUACUGAUUGAACCGCUUCUAACGGUCUAUUAAGUUAGACAAUUACCCUUAAGUUUGAUCUCAAAUCAGGUAGGACUACCCGCUGAACUUAA